rnacentral:tRNA from 1 species
UCCCUGAUAGUAUAGUGGUCAGUGCUCCUGUCUCAAUAACCGUUUCAAGCAGCAAUGCUAUGAAAUGAAAAAAAAAACCAGGAGGCCGAUGUUCGAUUCCUCGUCAGGGAG